UACCAGCUCUCCGAGUUGUAGGGAUGAUUAUUGGGCUUAAAGCGUCCGUAGCUGGCUUAGCAAGUCUCCUGUUAAAUUCAGCGACCUAAUCGUUGAGCCGCGGGAGAUACUACUAGGCUAGGAGGCGGGAGAGGUCGACGGUACUUUCGGGGUAGGGGUGAAAUCCUAUAAUCCCGGGAGGACCACCAGUGGCGAAGGCUGUCGACUAGAACGCGCUCGACGGUGAGGGACGAAAGCUGGGGGAGCGAACCGGAUUAGAUACCCGGGUAGUCCCAGCUGUGAACUAUGCGGGCUAGGUGUUGGGGUGGCUACGGCCACUUCAGUGCCGCAGGAAAGCCAUUAAGCCCGCCGCCUGGGGAUACGGCCGCAAGGCUGAAACUUAAAGGAAUUGGCGGGGAGCACACAAGGCGUGAAGCUUGCGGUUC
rnacentral:rRNA from 1 species